AAGGGGGAGAGUAAUCUUGAGAGAGUGCUAAUUUUUUCAAGCCAUAGUUAGAUUCUACGGGUCCCUUG
rnacentral:tRNA from 1 species